CCUACGGGAGGCUGCAGUGGGGAAUAUUGGACAAUGGGGGAAACCCUGAUCCAGCGACGCCGCGUGAGUGAAGAAGUCUUUCGGUACGUAAAGCUCUAUCAGCAGGGAAGAAAAUGACGGUAUCUGACUAAGAAGCCCCGGCUAACUACGUGCCAGCAGCCGCGGUAAUACGUAGGGGGCAAGCGUUAUCCGGAUUUACUGGGUGUAAAGGGAGCGUAGACGGGAGCGCAAGUCUGGAGUGAAAUGCCGUGGCCUAACCCCGGAACUGCUCUGGAAACUGUGAAGCUGGAGUGCAGGAGAGGUAAGCGGAAUUCCUGGUGUAGCGGUGAAAUGCGUAGAGAUCAGGAGGAACACC
rnacentral:rRNA from 1 species